rnacentral:ncRNA from 2 species
AUUUUACCGUCAGAUCAAGGUGCCGGGGAAAUCUCCGGGUAAAAGGGAAUUCGGUGAGGCUGUCGCCAAAUCCGAAGCUGCCCCCGCAACUGUAGGCGGAGAGCCUGUCCGACAUGCCACUGGCGCGGAUUUCGCGCCGGGAAAGCUGGACCAGGUAAAGAUCCGCAAGUCAGGAAACCUGCCUGGAUCAAUCACCUGUU